rnacentral:rRNA from 1 species
AACGAACGCUGGCGGCAUGCCUAACACAUGCAAGUCGAACGAGACCUUCGGGUCUAGUGGCGCACGGGUGCGUAACGCGUGGGAACCUGCCCUUAGGUUCGGAAUAACUCCCCGAAAGGGGUGCUAAUACCGGAUAAUGUCUUCGGACCAAAGAUUUAUCGCCUUUGGAUGGGCCCGCGUUGGAUUAGCUAGUUGGUAGGGUAAAAGCCUACCAAGGCGACGAUCCAUAGCUGGUCUGAGGGGAUGAUCAGCCACACUGGGACUGAGACACGGCCCAGACUCCUACGGGAGGCAGCAGUGGGGAAUAUUGGACAAUGGGCGAAAGCCUGAUCCAGCAAUGCCGCGUGAGUGAUGAAGGCCUUAGGGUUGUAAAGCUCUUUUACCCGGGAUGAUAAUGACAGUACCGGGAGAAUAAGCUCCGGCUAACUCCGU